GAUGAACGCUGGCGGCGUGCCUAAUACAUGCAAGUCGAGCGAACGGACGAGAAGCUUGCUUCUCUGAUGUUAGCGGCGGACGGGUGAGUAACACGUGGAUAACCUACCUAUAAGACUGGGAUAACUUCGGGAAACCGGAGCUAAUACCGGAUAAUAUUUUGAACCGCAUGGUUCAAAAGUGAAAGACGGUCUUGCUGUCACUUAUAGAUGGAUCCGCGCUGCAUUAGCUAGUUGGUAAGGUAACGGCUUACCAAGGCAACGAUGCAUAGCCGACCUGAGAGGGUGAUCGGCCACACUGGAACUGAGACACGGUCCAGACUCCUACGGGAGGCAGCAGUAGGGAAUCUUCCGCAAUGGGCGAAAGCCUGACGGAGCAACGCCGCGUGAGUGAUGAAGGUCUUCGGAUCGUAAAACUCUGUUAUUAGGGAAGAACAUAUGUGUAAGUAACUGUGCACAUCUUGACGGUACCUAAUCAGAAAGCCACGGCUAACUACGUGCCAGCAGCCGCGGUAAUACGUAGGUGGCAAGCGUUAUCCGGAAUUAUUGGGCGUAAAGCGCGCGUAGGCGGUUUUUUAAGUCUGAUGUGAAAGCCCACGGCUCAACCGUGGAGGGUCAUUGGAAACUGGAAAACUUGAGUGCAGAAGAGGAAAGUGGAAUUCCAUGUGUAGCGGUGAAAUGCGCAGAGAUAUGGAGGAACACCAGUGGCGAAGGCGACUUUCUGGUCUGUAACUGACGCUGAUGUGCGAAAGCGUGGGGAUCAAAUAGGAUUAGAUACCCUGGUAGUCCACGCCGUAAACGAUGAGUGCUAAGUGUUAGGGGGUUUCCGCCCCUUAGUGCUGCAGCUAACGCAUUAAGCACUCCGCCUGGGGAGUACGACCGCAAGGUUGAAACUCAAAGGAAUUGACGGGGACCCGCACAAGCGGUGGAGCAUGUGGUUUAAUUCGAAGCAACGCGAAGAACCUUACCAAAUCUUGACAUCCUUUGACAACUCUAGAGAUAGUGCCUUCCCCUUCGGGGGACAAAGUGACAGGUGGUGCAUGGUUGUCGUCAGCUCGUGUCGUAAGAUGUUGGGUUAAGUCCCGCAACGAGCGCAACCCUUAAGCUUAGUUGCCAUCAUUAAGUUGGGCACUCUAAGUUGACUGCCGGUGACAAACCGGAGGAAGGUGGGGAUGACGUCAAAUCAUCAUGCCCCUUAUGAUUUGGGCUACACACGUGCUACAAUGGACAAUACAAAGGGCAGCGAAACCGCGAGGUCAAGCAAAUCCCAUAAAGUUGUUCUCAGUUCGGAUUGUAGUCUGCAACUCGACUACAUGAAGCUGGAAACGCUAGUAAUCGUAGAUCAGCAUGCUACGGUGAAUACGUUCCCGGGUCU
rnacentral:rRNA from 1 species